CCCCUCCCCACACUGAGGUUCCUGUGCUGGGGGGGGCCGCACACACACACGUGCAGUUCCCUCCUCCGCCGCCAGGGGGCGCCGUCGCGAUUGGGGCUGAGCGCCGCGCCGUGGGGGCCGCUCUGCCCCGCUGCGCCUCAGUCGCUGUCCGAACCCACGGCGGAGGAGCCCUUCCGCUUCCGCUUUGUGGGUUUGGGUUUGGUGUCCUCCUCCUCCGAGGCGCUGCUGGACGCCGACUCCUCCUCGUUGUUGGGGGGCUGCGCGGCGCUCUUGCGGCUGCGGGGGCUGGCGAGGGCGGCCUUCCGGCGGCUCUUGGGGGGUUUGCUGGACGAGUCCUCGUAUUCCUCAGCCAGGGAGAAGAGAUCGCUGAACUUCAUCUUAUG
rnacentral:lncRNA from 1 species